AAAGUUGUUGCGGUUAAAAAGCUCGUAGUUUGAUUUCGGCGAGCAGGGGGCGGUUCGUUAUUUGACGUAACUGCCCCAUUUGCUCGUGUUUCUUCGGCAGAACUCCCGGGGUGCUCUUCGCCGAGUGUCCCGUUGGGGGCUGCCAGGUNUACUUUGAAAAAAUGAGAGUGCUCCAAGCAGGCUCGACACGCCUGAAUAUUUGUGCAUGGAAUAAUGGAAUAGGACGUCGUUNCUAUUUUGUUGGUUUUAGGGAAUCGACGUAAUGAUUAAUAGGGACAGCCGGGGGCAUUAGUAUUCAGACGACAGAGGUGAAAUUCUUGGACCGUCUGGCGACUCACUGCUGCGAAAGCGUUUGCCAAGUAUGUUUUCAUUAAUCAAGAACGAAAGUUAGAGGUUCGAAGGCGAUCAGAUACCGCCCUAGUUCUAACCAUAAACGAUGCCAGCUAGCGAUCCGCAGAUGUUUUUAUUGUAGGCUCUGCGGGAAGCUUCCGGGAAACCNAAGCUUUUGGGUUCCGGGGGAAGUAUGGUUGCNAAGCUGAAACUNAAAGAAAUUGACGGAAGGGCACCA
rnacentral:rRNA from 1 species